CCUACGGGAGACAGCAGUGGGGAAUAUUGCACAAUGGGCGAAAGCCUGAUGCAGCAAUGCCGCGUGAGCGAUGAAGCACUCCGGUUCGUAAAGCUCUGUCCUCAGGGAAGAUAAUGACGGUACUUGAGGAGGAAGCCCCGGCUAACUACGUGCCAGCAGCCGCGGUAAUACGUAGGGGGCUAGCGUUAUCCGGAUUUACUGGGGGUAAAGGGUGCGCAGGGGGGUUCUUAAGUCAGAGGUGAAAGGCGACGGCUCAACCGUAGUAAGCCUUUGAAACUGGGGAACUUGAGUGCAGGAGAGGAGAGUGGAAUUCCUAGUGUAGCGGUGAAAUGCGUAGAUAUUAGGAGGAACACCAGUGGCGAAGGCGGCUCUCUGGACUGUAACUGACGCUGAGGCACGAAAGCGUGGGGAGCAAACAGGAUUAGAUACCCGAGUAGUC
rnacentral:rRNA from 1 species